rnacentral:rRNA from 1 species
AGUGGACGCUGGCGGUAGGCCUAACACAUGCAAGUCGAACGGCAGCACAGUAAGAGCUUGCUCUUACGGGUGGCGAGUGGCGGACGGGUGAGGAAUACAUCGGAAUCUACUUUUUCGUGGGAGAUAACGUAGGGAAACUUACGCUAAUACCGCAUACGACCUACGGGUGAAAGCAGGGGAUCUUCGGACCUUGCGCGAUUGAAUGAGCCGAUGUCGGAUUAGCUAGUUGGCGGGGUAAAGGCCCACCAAGGCGACGAUCCGUAGCUGGUCUGAGAGGAUGAUAAGCCACACUGGAACUGAGACACGGUCCAGACUCCUACGGGAGGCAGCAGUGGGGAAUAUUGGACAAUGGGCGCAAGCCUGAUCCAGCCAGACCGCGUGGGUGAAGAAGGCCUUCGGGUUGUAAAGACCUUUUGUUGGGAAAGAAAAGCAGCAGGUUAAUACCCAGCUGUUCUGACGGUACCCAAAGAAUAAGCACCGGCUAACUUCGUG